GACGAACGCUGGCGGCGUGCUUAACACGUGCAAGUCGAACGGAAAGGCCCUGCUUUUGUGGGGUGCUCGAGUGGCAAACGGGUGAGUAACACGUGAGUAACCUGCCCUUGGCUUUGGGAUAACUUCAGGAAACUGGGGCUAAUACCGGAUAGGAGCUCCUGCUGCAUGGUGGGGGUUGGAAAGUUUCGGCGGUUGGGGAUGGACUCGCGGCUUAUCAGCUUGUUGGUGGGGUAGUGGCUUACCAAGGCUUUGACGGGUAGCCGGCCUGAGAGGGUGACCGGCCACAUUGGGACUGAGAUACGGCCCAGACUCCUACGGGAGGCAGCAGUGGGGAAUAUUGCACAAUGGGCGGAAGCCUGAUGCAGCAACGCCGCGUGCGGGAUGACGGCCUUCGGGUUGUAAACCGCUUUCGCCUGUGACGAAGCGUGAGUGACGGUAAUGGGUAAAGAAGCACCGGCUAACUACGUG
rnacentral:rRNA from 1 species